UUCUUCGGGGCAGGGUGUAAUUCCCUACCGGCGGUAUAGUCCGCGAGCUGCGCAGGCAGUUGAACUGGUGAGAUUCCGGUACCGACAGUAUAGUCUGGAUGAGAGAAGAUG
rnacentral:ncRNA from 1 species